UACAGAGGGUGCGAGCGUUGUUCGGAAUUAUUGGGCGUAAAGGGCGCGUAGGCGGUGCGGUAAGUCACCUGUGAAAUCUCCUGGCUCAACUGGGAGCUUGCAGGCGAAACUGCCGUGCUGGAGUGUGGGAGAGGUGCGUGGAAUUCCUGGUGUAGCGGUGAAAUGCGUAGAUAUCAGGAGGAACACCGGUGGCGAAGGCGGCUUUCUGGACACUUACUGACGCUGAGACGCGAAAGCGUGGGGAGCAAACAGG
rnacentral:rRNA from 1 species